rnacentral:rRNA from 1 species
CUUACACAUGCAGUCGAACGAUGAAGCCCUUCGGGGUGGAUUAGUGGCGAACGGGUGAGUAACACGUGGGCAAUCUGCCCUGCACUCUGGGACAAGCCCUGGAAACGGGGUCUAAUACCGGAUAUGACCGUCCAUCGCAUGGUGGAUGGUGUAAAGCUCCGGCGGUGCAGGAUGAGCCCGCGGCCUAUCAGCUAGUUGGUGAGGUAGUGGCUCACCAAGGCGACGACGGGUAGCCGGCCUGAGAGGGCGACCGGCCACACUGGGACUGAGACACGGCCCAGACUCCUACGGGAGGCAGCAGUGGGGAAUAUUGCACAAUGGGCGAAAGCCUGAUGCAGCGACGCCGCGUGAGGGAUGACGGCCUUCGGGUUGUAAACCUCUUUCAGCAGGGAAGAAGCGAAAGUGACGGUACCUGCAGAAGAAGCGCCGGCUAACUACGUGCCAGCAGCCGCGGUAAUACGUAGGGCGCAAGCGUUGUCCGGAAUUAUUGGGCGUAAAGAGCUCGUAGGCGGCUUGUCACGUCGGUUGUGAAAGCCCGGGGCUUAACCCCGGGUCUGCAGUCGAUACGGGCAGGCUAGAGUUCGGUAGGGGAGAUCGGAAUUCCUGGUGUAGCGGUGAAAUGCGCAGAUAUCAGGAGGAACACCGGUGGCGAAGGCGGAUCUCUGGGCCGAUACUGACGCUGAGGAGCGAAAGCGUGGGGAGCGAACAGGAUUAGAUACCCUGGUAGUCCACGCCGUAAACGGUGGGCACUAGGUGUGGG